rnacentral:rRNA from 1 species
UGGGGAAUCUUGCGCAAUGGCCGAAAGGCUGACGCAGCGACGCCGCGUGUGGGAUGAAGCAUUUCGGUGUGUAAACCACUGUUGCCCGGGACGAAUCCGCCUUUUCGAGGGCGUUGACGGUACCGGGUGAGGAAGCACCGGCUAACUCCGUGCCAGCAGCCGCGGUAAUACGGAGGGUGCGAGCGUUGUCCGGAAUCACUGGGCGUAAAGGGCGCGUAGGCGGCGCGGCAAGUCAACGGUGAAAGCCCGGGGCUCAACCCCGGGUCGGCCGUCGAUACUGCUGCGCUCGAGCACUGUAGAGGCAGGUGGAAUUCCGGGUGUAGCGGUGGAAUGCGUAGAGAUCCGGAAGAACACCGGUGGCGAAGGCGGCCUGCUGGGCAGUAGCUGACGCUGAGGCGCGACAGCGUGGGGAGCAAACAGGAUUAGAUACCCCCGUAGUCC